AAACAUCAGUCUGGGCUUGCUUACUAAUUUGAUUUUGAUAAACUAAAACAGCUGCUAAUAUGUCCAAUGUUACCUCUGGGAAGCCCUUGAACAAUAAUGCAAUCAUAUGAUCAGUAGCUUAGUAAACUAAUAGGUUUCUUAUCAAGUGAAAAUUUAGUUAGUUUAGAAGGAUUAAUGUUGCGAUCUAGACUGAUAAGUUGGGAUAAAUAAGAAUUCAGUUAGUCUCACUUUGGUUAAAUUUGGCGUUUGAAUCAUCGAAUGGAAACAGGAAAUUGUUUAAAGGUUUAGUAAUUUGGGUUGUUAAUUCUUAUACUAAUUGUUAAAUAAAGUAGUAUUGCAUUGAUUGAAAGAAAAAGAAAGUUACAUGUGAAUUGAAGCUGCCAAUUCGAGUAAUAUAGAAUUUGGAAUCAACUUUGAGCCUAAUAUAUAUAUUUUCAUUCAUGUUAUCUUCAAAAAUCUCAUCUUAAUUCCAAUGUUUGUGAUUCUGAAAUCAAAACAAGUAGUAUCAGGUUAAUUUGAGUAAAUGCAUGUUAUCUUUCCUUGUCACAGAUUGUGAAUGCACUUGACAUAAAUUGAACGAACUUUAGUGAUAUUUGGAUUAAUUGAGUUGAAAUCUGAGCUUAGUUUACCCAAGAAAGGACAACCCAGUUUCAGGCCAUGGAGGCUUCAACGCCCUAAAGAAAGUCACAUGUGCAUGCUCGAUUGGUGUAUUCGUGCAAGCCUGGGCCAAGCUUGUGACUGGCCUCCCUUUUAUGCAUAUAUUCACUAUGGUUUUUAUACAGGCUGCAUCCAAGCCCAAAUUAAU
rnacentral:lncRNA from 1 species